UUCGGUGACCAUAGGCAGAGGGAAACACCUGUUCCCAUCCCGAACACAGCAGUUAAGCCUCUGCCGCCGAUGAUACUGCUUAGCGGGAAAGUAGGUCGUCGCCGGAA
rnacentral:rRNA from 1 species